CUUUAGUUUUUAGAAGGUUCAGAAUCAGUUUUGAGGGGGAGGCAGUUGCUACACUAUCCCAUUCCGACACCAUCAAUCGCCACACACUGCAUCGCAUGGAUUUCUCUAAGACUGAUGGUGGUUGGACAAAAGGUGUUGAGGAGAGAGCGGAGGAUAGACCAGAGGAGGAGGGACCAUCUUCACCUCUUCGUGAUCACAGAGCAUCCCC
rnacentral:lncRNA from 1 species